GUUCACUGACGCAUAGGCAGCUUAGAAA
rfam:Providencia burhodogranariea DSM 19968 genomic scaffold scaffold00001, whole genome shotgun sequence.